rnacentral:rRNA from 1 species
GACGAACGCUGGCGGCGUGCCUAAUACAUGCAAGUAGAACGCACAGUUUAUACCGUAGCUUGCUACACCAUAGACUGUGAGUUGCGAACGGGUGAGUAACGCGUAGGUAACCUGCCUGGUAGCGGGGGAUAACUAUUGGAAACGAUAGCUAAUACCGCAUAAUAUUAAUUAUUGCAUGAUAAUUGAUUGAAAGAUGCAACUGCAUCACUACCAGAUGGACCUGCGUUGUAUUAGCUAGUAGGUGAGGUAACGGCUCACCUAGGCGACGAUACAUAGCCGACCUGAGAGGGGGAUCGGCCAAACUGGGACUGAGACACGGCCCAGACUCCUACGGGAGGCAGCAGGAGGGAAUCUUCGGCAAUGGACGAAAGUCUGACCGAGCAACGCCGCGUGAGUGAAGAAGGUUUUCGGAUCGUAAAGCUCUGUUGUAAGAGAAGAACGGGUGUGAGAGUGGAAAGUUCACACUGUGACGGUAUCUUACCAGAAAGGGACGGCUAACUACGUG